rnacentral:rRNA from 1 species
CCUACGGGUGGCAGCAGUGGGGAAUAUUGCACAAUGGGGGAAACCCUGAUGCAGCGACGCCGCGUGAGUGAAGAAGUAUUUCGGUACGUAAAGCUCUAUCAGCAGGGAAGAAAAACCGGCCUUAGGGCCGCCAGCCGGUACCUGACUCAGACGCCCCGGCUAACUACGUACCAGCAGCCGCGGUAAUACGUAGGGGGCCAGCGUUAUCCGGAUUUACUGGGGGUAAAGGGAGCGUAGACGGCAGCGCAAGCCUGGAGUGAAAUGCCGGGGCCCAACCCCGGAACUGCUUUGGAAACUGUGAAGAUGGAGUGCAGGAGAGGUAAGCGGAAUGCCUAGUGUAGCGGUGAAAUGCGUAGAUAUUAGGAGGAACACCAGUGGCGAAGGCGGCUUACUGGACUGUAACUGACGUUGAGGCUCGAAAGCGUGGGGAGCAAACAGGAUUAGAUACCCUUGUAGUC